GGUGAUUCCAGGGAUAUUUCUGCUUAUGGAAUAUUGAGUGCUUUUCUUUUAUGGGAAGAAGGGAAUGCUUGACGUGGAUAUUUUCUACUACCGUCACAAUCAUUAACAGUAACUUUUUAAACACCCAUUUUAAAAUGUUGUGUUCUAUAAGGCUUAUUUAUUUACAAAGGUCUCUAAUCAUUUCAGUUUCUGAUACCUUUCCAGAAAGAGAUUCUGUACAUAUGGUGGAAGCUAGAGUGGACAUCCGUAAACUUUUGCAGUUUCUUGCUGGACAGCAAGUGAAUCCUACUAAAGCUAUAUGCAGUGAGUAUGUUAAUUUCUUUCCAUAUGUUGCAAUGAGUAUGUUAAUUCUCUUUACUAUAUGUCAUGCUUCUUUAGGCUUAGAAUAGCUGACUUGCAAAAUGUUUAGAUUUCAGCUUCUUUGGCCAUUUGAAAUGUUCUGUAAAUUCUUGACAGCCCUGAUUUUUUUUUGAUUUUUUUUGUCUUUAUUAAAGAUUUUUGUUUUUCACUACAUAAAUAUAUAGCACGUAGACAAAAAAAGACAAAAAUAAUAACUUUAAUAAUCCAGUUGUUACUAAGCAAGUAUUACAUUAAACAAUACAUGAGAAAAACAAAUAUGAAAAGAGUGGGUUGCCAACAAGAAUGCAAGGUCAUCCGAGUCUAUUAAUUUAAUGUUCCAGACUUUCAGGCUCCAGACUUUAAUCCGUUCGUUUAUAAACAUACGAACGCAGUGUCGUUCAGUACUUCCAUACUCACGAACUAGACCGACCCUGAUGACUAAAAUGACUUAUGGAACUAAUCCUGGACUGAAUUAUGCAACGGCCAUUGAGAAAACUUUAACCCCCAUGGCGAUCCAACUGUAUUUGUGAGAUCUGAGCACUUUUCGGAUAUAUUGAGCGCUCCGAUCUAAGCUAUCCGGGGAUAUGUUGAACAUAGGGAUUUAAUUAUAAAUAAUGAGUUAUGUAUUUUUAUGUGGCUUUGUUACAGUUUUAACUUAGAAAUAUUUUCUGUACCUGGAGAUAAUUAAGUUACUACGGCCACUUAAGCCAAUUAUCUCCAUGAUGGAGGGGAGGGUUUAGAAAAAUGCAUUUUGUAAUGAUUGGUUAUGUUACUUGUGUUUCAGUGCCCCACCAGGUCCAGUGGGUGUUUCCUGGCCUGGAAAAACUUGUAUAAAGCUGAUGCAUGUACCCAUUAAAACCAGUUUUCUUACCCUCAACUCGCAGCCUUGACUCGUGUUGUAGGGAAAUGCUAAUCACCAGCUCUGGUCAGAGCUACACGUCCAGGGAAAUCUGUAUUUGCUGAAGUGGAACUCUUUGCCGCUCUCCCAGCUCGGGGACAAGGACAUCCAGGCGGUCCAACCCUCAGCUAGCCUGGGGCAACUGUAGCAGUCCUUUCAGCUGAUUGGUUGUUGCUUGGCUUAGGCACGAAGUUUGCAUUCACCAGACUUAACCAAGCAACUGGAACUACAGUGCCUUGCAAAAGUAUUCACCCCCCUUGGCAUUUAUCGUGUUUUGUUGCCUCACAACCUAGCAUUAAUAUGGAUUGUUUGAGGAUUUGCAUCAUUUAAUUUACAGAACAUGCCCACAAUUUUGAAGAUUUUUGUUUUUGUUUUGUUUUUAUUGUAAAGCAAACAACUAAUAGGACAAAAUAACAGAAAAAGUCAAUGUCCAUAACUAUUCACCCCCUAAAAUCAAUACUUUGUUGAGCCACCUUUUGCAAGUCACUUUGGAUAAGUCUCUCUGAGCUUGCCCCAUCUUACCACUGGGAUUUUUGCCCAUUCCUCCUUGCAAAACUGCUCCAGCUCCUUCAAGUUGGAUGGUUUGCACUUGUGAACAGCAAUCUUUAAGUCUGACCACAGAUUUUCGAUUGGAUUGAGGUCUGGGCUUUGACUUGGCCAUUCCAACAAAUUGACAUGUUUCCCCUUAAACCACUCAAGUGUUGCUUUAGCAGUGUGUUUGUGGUCAUUGUCCUGCUGGAAGGUGAACCUCUGUCCUAGCCUCAAAUCACGCACAGAGAGGUACAGGUUUUGUUCAAGAAUAUCCCUGUAUUUAGCACCAUCCAUCUUUCCCUCAACUCUGACCAGUUUCCCAGUCCUGGCUGCUGAAAAAUAUCCCCACAGCAUGAUGCUGCCACCAUGUUUCCUUUGGGGAUGAUCUUCUUAUUAUUGCCUUUUAUAUAGCGCCAACAGAUUCCGUAGCGCUUUACAAUAUUAUUAGAGGGGAGAUUUAACUAUAAAUAGGUCAAUUACAAGAAAACUUACAGAAACGAUGGGUUGUAGAGCGCCCUGCUAAAACGAGCUUACAGUCUAUAGAAGGUGGGGUAUAAAACACAUUAGGACAGGAAAUUGCAGUCAUAUUAGGUGGUAGUGAAGUAGAGUUGGAGAGAGUAGUGCACUGCCCUUUAGGACAGAGCAAGAGACAGGUAUGUGAGGUAGAGGUUAGUGAGGAAGGUUUUAAGGCACUACUUAAACAAUUGAAGACUAGGGGAGAGUCUGAUGGCAGUAGGCAGGCUAUUCCAUAGGAAGGGAGCCACCCGCGAGAAGGCCUUCAAGCGUUGGCCGUACGGGUGCGAGCAGCGGACAGAAGGUGGUCACGGGCAGAGCGGAGAGACCAAGAAGGGGCAUACUUAUGGAUCUGUGAGGAGAUAUAAGAGGGGCUAAUAUUAUUCCUAUAGUAUACAGGAAGCCAAUGUAAGGACUGAGAGAGGGGUGAGGUGUGAGAGGACCGACUAGAGGAAAAUCAAUCUGGCGGCAGCAUUCAUUAGACUGUAGCGGGGCAAUACUGCUAUUGGGAAAACCAAUUAGGAGAGAGUUACAAUAGUCCAUGCGAGAGAUUACUAGAGCAUGGACAAGCUCUUUAGUAGCAUCUUGUGCAAGAAAGGGGCAGAUGUGGGCGAUGUUUUUGAGGUGGAAUUGGCAUGAUUUGACAACAGACCGGAUGUGAGGCCAGAAUCAAAAGUAACACCAAGACAACGUGGGCUGCAAUGGAUACCACCAAUCUGAAGGGAGAGCGAGAGAGGAGGAGUAAUAUUAGGAGGAAAGAUGAGAAGUUCUGUUUUGGAAAGAGUCCUUUUCAGAAAGCGGGAGGACAUCCAAUCAGAGCUAGAAGAAAGGCAAGAGGUGUCACGUUGCAGGACAUCAGGGAAGAGGUCUGGUGAGGAGAGAGAUAUCUGGAUAUCAUCAGCGUACAGGUGGUACUGGAAUCGGAAAGAGGUAAUAAGUUUGGCAAGAGAGGCAAUGUAAAGAGAAAAUAGAAGGUGACCAUGGACAGAGCCUUGGGGGACUCCAACUGAGACAGGACGAACGGUGGAGGUAUCAUUAGAAAAGGAGACACUGAAUGAGCGUUGGGAGAGAUAAGAGGAAAACCAAGAGAGGACAGAGUCACAGAGACCGAGCGUUGAAGAGUUUGGAGAAUGAGAACAUGAUCAACAGUGUCAAAAGCAGCGGAGAGGUCAAGAAGAAUUAGUAUGGAGUAGUGACCUUUGGAUUUAGCUGUGAUGUCGUUAGUGACUUUGAUAAGGGCAGUCUCAGAGUUGAGGAGGCGGAAGCUGGACUGAAGAGGGUCAAGGAGAGAGUUGGAAUUGAGGAAGCAGGCCAGACGGCAUUAGACUAGUCUUUCAAGAAGCUUUGAGGAAAAAGGGAGCAGGGAUAUAGGACGAUAGUUGGGAGAGGAUGGGUCGAGACAUGGUUUCUUUAAGAUGGGUACUACAGUAGCAUGUUUAAGGACAGCUAGAACAGUGCCAGAAGAAAGAGAGCAGUUAAAGAUGUGUGUUAAGGAGGGCACAAGACCAGAGGAGAGAGAUCUGAUAAGGUGAGACUUGACAAGAUCAAGCGGGCAAGUGGUGGGGCGAGAGGAAAGGAUAAGCGCAGCCAUCUCUUGUUCAGUAGCCUGGGAGAAGGUUGGAAGGGUUGGAGAGGCAUGAUCCAGGUGAGGUUGAGAAAGUGAGGGGCAAGGUAGUGAGAAUUCUUUCCUUAGCUGUUCAAUCUUGUCAGUAAAGUAGCAUGCAAAACUAUCUGCUGUAAGGUUAGUUUGGGUGGUGUCCACAGCAGGGCAAAGAAGAGAGUUAAAGGUAUCAAUGAGACGCCUGGGAUUGCGAGAGCAUGGACGAAUAAGAGAAGAAAAGUAUGACUGUUUGGCAAGGGCAAGGGCUGUGCUGUAUGAAUGCAAUAUGAAUUUGUAGUGUAGAAAGUCCGACUCUGUGUGAGACUCCAGUCUUUGCUGUGGAACUCUGCAGCUCCUCCAAGGUUACCUUUGGUCUCUGUGCUGCCUCUCUGAUUAAUGCCCUCCUUGCCCAGUCCAUGAGUUUUGGUGGGUGGCCGUCUCUUGGCAGGUUUGCUGUUGUGCCAUGUUCUUUCCAUUUGGUUUUGAUAGAUUUGAUGGUGCUCCUGGGGAUCAUCAAAGAUUUGGAUAUUUUUUUCUAACCUAACCCUGACUUGUACUUCUCAACAACAUUGUCCCUUACUUGUUUGCAGAGUUCCUUGGUCUUCAUGGCAGUGUUUGGUUAGUGGUGCCUCUUGCUUAGGUGUUGCAGCCUCUGGGGCCUUUCAAAAAAGGUGUGUAUAUGUAAUGUAAGUGUCAUGUGACACUUAGAUUGC